UAGACUCCUCGCUACUUGCUCUUGGUUGAACCUAGGAUGAUCUCAGCUUUUGAUCCAUUUGGGCUUGCCUUGAUUUUUGGACCUGACAGCUUUUGGGAUCUAUCUUUGGGACUGAAAAGACCUUACUCUUAGACUGGUUUUCUUUAUCACGACUACUGCUUCGCCUCAACCCUUGGUGUUCGUCCACCUCUCUCCUGCCCCAGUCCACCUGUGUGAGGCAGGCUGUUUGUAGCUUGAAAUUGCUGCAGUGGGAGGAUUUACACCAUGGAAUUUGCAAAUGCUACAAAUCAAGGUCUUCACUGUGCUCCAGCUGCAGUAUCAGUGGAAUUGUGUGAUGUGGAUAUGAUGGAAGGAAAGGCAUUCAACACCAACAUCUUUCCGGAUGCCUGGCAGCACCAGUUACCACUGCAGUGGCUGGGCCUGGGUCCAGAGCUCCCAUUAUUCCUGUUUUGUAGAGGUGGGCCCAGAAAAAUGACAGAAGACACCCAAGCUCCAGCAGCAGAUUUGGUGAAUAUCCUUCAGCCUUCCCAGUUCUGCUUGCAGGUUUCAGUUUCACUCCGAGCUGUGAUUCAUUUCUGUCCCCUUUGUCUCCGUGUCUCUCCUUCCUAGUGACCCAGCCUCCUUUUGGCCUUCAGUGGGGUGAAGAGAAGUGUGAGUUGUGCCUGGUGUCUUCCAUCAGCCCUGAGCCGCCCAGGGCCGAGCUGGGGGACAGAUAGCAGCACACAGAGCUUCAUUUUCCUCAGCUCUUCAGCCACGUCAAACACUUCUUACAAUAAUAGACUCCAAUGUGCGGUUGAUGUCCAGGACAGACAGAGGUCUUGGCAGAAGCUGGGAUUGCUUUCCCAUUUCACUGAGUUUAUAAAAAUGACAUUUUUGAACUUUAAAUCUUAGCAUUCAUGACCCUUAGUAUUUUCCCUCUUUUUGUCACUCGCUUCUUUGAAGAUCAAGUCACCUAUUCCUCCAGCUUAAGACAAUGUUUCAGGUGAUAAGAAAAGACAAAACAUCAGAGACCCCAGAGGUGCCAAUUGUCUACUCCUUUCAUGCUAACAACUUGCAUUUCUACUCAUUGGUUACAGAAAAGUAACUACCUCUUUCUCUCAGCGUGCUGUGGGGGGCUUUGUCUGUGCCAAAGUAGCUAGAUCAGACUUUUUAAUGAGCAAGACUCAAAAAAAGUAAAUUGACUUUUUACAGGGAAACAGGCCAUUCCUCAAAAACUGUUAAAGAUUCUGUCAUCCAGAAUAUCCCUAUCCUGUUGACCUUAUUUACAGAUUUCAUGAAAAAUACAUCAUCGUAACAUUGAUAUAUGGACCCUGUAGCAUCCAAUUUCUU
rnacentral:lncRNA from 1 species